GAUGAACGCUGGCGGCGUGCCUAAUACAUGCAAGUCGAGCGAACAGACGAGGAGCUUGCUCCUCUGACGUUAGCGGCGGACGGGUGAGUAACACGUGGAUAACCUACCUAUAAGACUGGGAUAACUUCGGGAAACCGGAGCUAAUACCGGAUAAUAUAUUGAACCGCAUGGUUCAAUAGUGAAAGACGGUUUUGCUGUCACUUAUAGAUGGAUCCGCGCCGCAUUAGCUAGUUGGUAAGGUAACGGCUUACCAAGGCAACGAUGCGUAGCCGACCUGAGAGGGUGAGAGCCCACACGGGAACUGAGACAGGGACCAGCCCCCAAGGGGAGGAAGAAGGAGGGAAUCUUCCGAAAGGGGCAAAAGCGGGACGGACCACCGCGGAGUGGGGGAGGAAGGUCUUGGAAUCUAAAAACUUUUUUAUGGGGGAAAAAAAAAUGUGAAAGAAACUAUGCACGUUUAGAGGGAACCUAAUAAGAAAGCCACGGCAAACUACGUG
rnacentral:rRNA from 1 species